rnacentral:rRNA from 1 species
GAUAACAGCCAUAUUACCCUGCAGCCCAAGACCGGUUACUCCCUGAAGCUAAGCAGGGCUGAGCCUGGCCAGUACCUGGCUGGGAGACCACAUGGGAAAACUAGGUUGCUGUUAGAA